rnacentral:rRNA from 1 species
UCACAAUAAGUGUUUUAUGGCACUUUAAUUCCAUAUCCACCUUGUGUGCAACGUAGUGUUCGUUUCUCGAACAAAACAUCAACCUUUUUUAAAUGAACUAAUUGUCUGAAGUAUUAUAUGAAUAAACAAUUCAAAAUACAACUUUCAACAACGGAUCUCUUGGCUCUCGCAUCGAUGAAGAACGCAGCGAAAUGCGAUACGUAAUGUGAAUUGCAGAAUUCAGUGAAUCAUCGAAUCUUUGAACGCAUAUUGCGCUCUUUGGUAUUCCGAAGAGCAUGCUUGUUUGAGUAUCAGUAAACACCUCAAGAUCUCCUUUUCUUUUGAAAAAAGGGAUCUUGGACUUGAGCAAACCCAACACCUUUCUCUCUCUAUGAAAGACUGGAGGCGGGUUGCUUGAAAUGCAGGUGCAGCUGGACAAUCUCCUGAGCUAAAAGCAUAUUUAUUUAGUCCCGUAAAACGGAUUAUUACUUUUGCUACAGCUAACAUAAAGGGAGUAUUGACCUUUUUUCGCUGACUGAUGUAGGAAGUAAACUCGAGUCGGUUAAACGACUUGUUGUUCAACUCGAUCUCAAAUCAAGUAAGACUACCC